rnacentral:rRNA from 1 species
GACGAACGCUGGCGGCGUGCUUAACACAUGCAAGUCGAACGGAAAGGCCCUGCUUGCAGGGUACUCGAGUGGCGAACGGGUGAGUAACACGUGGGUGAUCUGCCCUGCACUUCGGGAUAAGCUUGGGAAACUGGGUCUAAUACCGGAUAGGAGCCAUCUUUAGUGUGGUGGUUGGAAAGUUUUUUCGGUGUAGGAUGAGCUCGCGGCCUAUCAGCUUGUUGGUGGGGUAAUGGCCUACCAAGGCGGCGACGGGUAGCCGGCCUGAGAGGGUGUACGGCCACAUUGGGACUGAGAUACGGCCCAGACUCCUACGGGAGGCAGCAGUGGGGAAUAUUGCACAAUGGGCGCAAGCCUGAUGCAGCGACGCCGCGUGGGGGAUGAAGGCCUUCGGGUUGUAAACUCCUUUCGCUAGGGACGAAGCUUUGUUGUGACGGUACCUAGAUAAGAAGCACCGGCGAACUACGU